rnacentral:rRNA from 1 species
UCCGUAGGCGGGUAAUUAAGUCAGAGGUGAAAUCCCACAGCUUAACUGUGGAACUGCUUUAGAUACUGGUUAUCUUGAGUUUUAGUGAAGUAGAUAGAAUGUGUAGUGUAGCGGUGAAAUGCAUAGAUAUUACACAGAAUACCGAUUGCGAAGGCAGUCUACUAACUAACAACUGACGCUAAUGGACGAAAGCGUGGGGAGCGAACAGGAUUAGAUACCCUGGUAGUCC